UGGCGUCAGGUGAACCGCGCGAAAUACAAAUUUUGUGUCAGUUUCAGUGAUUUAAUUCUCAAAAACGAGUCUGUUAAAGUACGCGCUGUGUAUCUGCUUAAAGAUAAAGUUCCUGCCACAUGUGUUAUUGAGUCAGAGCUUAUUAAAGGACACAAGAAUCUGACGACGGAAAAUCUCAUCAACGGCUAAACUGUUAUCUGGAAAGUGAGAAAUGGAUAAAAAGACGUUGGUGAAGCGGCGCGCGCUAAACCCUGAAGUUCGAUGGAAAAUGACCACGUCAAGGAGGGCUGCUGAGGUUGAGAGAGUCUCAGUGUCCGACAGAGAAGACCCGGGACUAUGAUGUAAAAGAGACAAUUACAAGGAGGCCUGGAUCUCGGAAACUUAAAGUGGCCGAACAGAUUUUCCCCAUGAAGGAGGUCCAGAAAGUGUACUUCACCAGCAAAUUCAACAAUGUGGACAAGCUAGGAAAACAAGAGGUGUAAUUCAUGUCACAAUUCACACCCCCACACACACUCAGACAUAGGACACAUCCAAGCACCCAGUACUGCCAUAAUUAAAUGCAUAAGGAAUGCUUAUGAAUUAGAUUUUUCAUUAUGUAUGUAUAAAGUUUAUAUAAAGAUUUAUACCACAAUACAUUAUUCAGUUAUAUAAUUGUAUAUAUUACUGUACAAUAAAAUUAUAUUAUUGUAUAAUUACCAUCGUAAAAUUAAUUAUUAAGUGUAAUAUAAUUCUGUUAUUAUAUAACAAAUACAAUCUAUUACUAUUAUUUUUUAUAUUACUAUUAUUUUAAUGCAUUUAACAUUACAUUAUAGAAUGCCAAGUUGGUACAUGUGUUAUCAGUUUACCAUUUAGAAGAUAUCCUUACCAGUUGUUUUUGUGCCUGUGUUUGAAAUUAUACCGUUGCUGAAUAAAUGGAGUUGUGAGAUCUA